AACUGGAGAUAAUUCCGGAUAACGCAUAUAUGCUGGAAUGCUUUAUGCGUAAAAUGGAUUCGUCUGCCCAAGGAUGGGUCUGCGGCCUAUCAGGUAGUAGUGGGUGUAAUGUACCUACUAGCCUACGACGGGUACGGGUUGUGAGAGCAAGAGCCCGGAGAUGGAUUCUGAGACAUGAAUCCAGGCCCUACGGGGCGCAGCAGGCGCGAAAACUUUACAAUGCGGGAAACCGUGAUAAGGGGACACCGAGUGCCAGCAUCAUAUGCUGGCUGUCCAGGUGUGUAAAAUACACCUGUUAGCAAGGGCCGGGCAAGACCGGUGCCAGCCGCCGCGGUAACACCGGCGGCCCGAGUGGUGAUCGUGAUUAUUGGGUCUAAAGGGUCCGUAGCCGGUUUGGUCAGUCCUCCGGGAAAUCUGAUAGCUUAACUAUUAGGCUUUCGGAGGAUACUGCCAGACUUGGAACCGGGAGAGGUAAGAGGUACUACAGGGGUAGGAGUGAAAUCUUGUAAUCCCUGUGGGACCACCUGUGGCGAAGGCGUCUUACCAGAACGGGUUCGACGGUGAGGGACGAAAGCUGGGGGCACGAACCGGAUUAGAUACCCGGGUAGUCCUGGCCGUAAACGAUGUGGACUUGGUGUUGGAAUGGCUUCGAGCUGCUCCAGUGCCGAAGGGAAGCUGUUAAGUCCACCGCCUGGGAAGUACGGUCGCAAGACUGAAAC
rnacentral:rRNA from 1 species